CACUGAAGAAAAAGCCAAUAAACUAAAAUUAAACAAAGAUGAAUUAUUCGGUCCCACGAGUAAAAGCAAUUCCAAUGGCGAAACUUCAAACAACUUUCCUUGACUCUCCAACUUUAACUAUAGUAGUGUUCCUCUUCAAUUAUUGUCUCUCUAUAUUUUUUUUUCUCAAACUGAGCACACAGAAAGUGGUUUUUUACCACCAAAUCGUUCAAGCCUACUAGCAUCCUCAAGUUCAAUACUUGCCGUCAACAUAUUUCCAAUGUCUUCUAUUAGCUCUCAGAAGACCUCCUCUUCGUCAUCAUUUUCACCUUCAACACCUUGGUGGAAAUAUGAUGUCUUUCUUAGUUUUAGAGGUGAGGACACUCGUUCUAGUUUUACGGACCAUCUAUAUGUUGCUUUGAAACAAAGGGGCAUAGUUACCUUUAGAGACGAGGAAAAUCUUGAGAUAGGAAAGUCUAUUUCACCAGAACUCCUAAAAGCAAUAAAAGAAUCGAGAUUUGCAAUUGUCAUUCUCUCAAGAAACUUUGCGUCAUCAACAUGGUGCUUGGAUGAACUUACAAAGAUAAUUGGAUGCCUAAAAGAGAAGACCACGACUGUUUUACCAAUUUUUUAUAAUGUGGACCCAUCUGAUGUACGAAAACAAACAGGCACCUUUGCCCAAGCCUUUUCUAAACAUGAAGAAUCUUUCAAGGACGACAUAGAGAAAGUGCAAAUGUGGAAAGCUGUUUUAGAAGAAGUGGCAAAUCUCAAAGGGUGGCACCUACUGGAUAGGUCCGAGGCACAACUUAUCCAAGAUAUUGUGGGAGAGUUAUGGCAUAAAUUGAAUUAUGCAUUCUUUGAAGAUACUAAAGACCUUGUAGGAAUAGAAUCUCGAGUGAAGGAAUUGGAAUCAUGUUUGGCUAUAGGGUCUAAUGAUGUUCGCAUAAUAGGGGUUUGGGGGAUGGGGGGAAUAGGUAAAACAACUCUUGCUAGAGUUGUUUUUCAUAUGGUUUCGAGGGAGUUUGAUGGUUGUUGCUUUCUCCAUAAUGUUAGGGAGGUUUGUGAAAAAGAAGGUUUACUUCCAUUGCAACAACAAAUUAUUAGAAAAAUAUUAAACGAAAGUAUACAAGAUGUUGAUGAGGGAGUUUUCGUGAUCAAAAAUAGAUUACGUCAUAAAAGAAUUCUUCUCGUUCUUGAUGAUGUAAGCCAAUUAGACCAGUUGGAAAAGUUAGUUGGGAAGCAUAAUUGGUUUGGUUUUGGUAGUAGAGUUAUCAUAACAACAAGGGAUAAGCAUUUACUACAUACACAUGAAGUAGAUGAAAUAUGCGUAGCUGAAACAUUGAGUGAUGAUGAAGCUCUUCAUCUUUUGAGUUUGAAAGCUUUUAAAAAAGACCGCCCUCCCAAAGAUUACCUACAACUAUCCAAAGAUGCCGUACAAUAUACUAAAGGCCUUCCUUUAGCUAUUGAGAUUUUGGGUUUCACUUUGUUCAAUAGAGACAUCAAUCAAUGGAAAAGUACAUUACUUAGGCUUAAAAAAUUUCCGGAAUGUGCAAUUUUCGAAGCACUUAAAAUAAGUUAUGAUAGACUACAUGAAACAGAGAAAAAAAUAUUCUUGUAUAUUGCAUGUUUCUUUAAUCAUGAGUACAAAAAUAGUGUAGUGAGUAAACUAGAUUAUCUUGACCUUUACCCUGCUAUUGGAUUAGUGGUUCUAGUUGAGAAAUCUCUCAUAAAAAUCAAUGAUGAUAAAGUGUGGAUGCAUGAUUUAGUGCAAGACAUGGGCAGGAAAAUAGUUCAUGAAGAGUGCCCUGAAGAGCCUGGAAAGCGUAGCAUCUUGUGGUCAUUCGAAGACAUUAAUAGUGUACUAACAAAAAAUACGGGAACAGAAGCAAUUCAAGGCAUAGUCCUAAAGUUGCCUGAAUCAAAAGAGGCAUAUUGGAAUCCUGAAUCUUUCUCAAUGAUGCAUAAUCUGAAAUUGCUCACAAUUGAUAAUGUUCAACUUCUCCAUGAACCCAAACAUCUUCCUAUUGGCUUAAGAUUUCUUGAGUGGAGGGGAUACCCUUCAAAAUCUUUGCCAUUAAAUUUCCAAUCAAAUGAUCUUGUUGAACUUUACAUGUGCUGUAGCCACAUUGAACAACUUUGGAAAGGAGCAAAGUCUUUUGAGAAGUUGAAAAUCAUCCAAAUGAAUGGGUCUCCAAACCUUAUAGAAACCCCUGAUUUGAUCAAAGUCCCGAAUCUUGAGAAAAUGUUUCUUGAAGAUUGUUUAAAUUUACGUGAGAUUCACCCUUCAACUUUGGUUCAUAAUAGGCUUACUCUUCUCAAUCUAAAAGGCUGUGUAAAUGUCAAAACUCUUCCAAGCAAGUUUGAAAUGGAGUCUCUUGAGGUUCUUAUUCUUUCUAGUUGCUCAAAACUAAAAAAGAUUCCAGAAUUUGGAGAAAACAUGCAACAUGUAUUAGAGCUUUAUUUGGGUGGAACUGCUAUUAAUAAAUUACCCACAUCAAUUGGGCAUUUGACCACCCUUGUUUUAUUGAAUGUAAGAGAUUGCAAAAGUCUUACAUGUUUGCCAAGCAGCAUUUUUAAUUUGAAAUUGCUUAAAGACGUGAAUAUUUCGGGAUGCUCGAAACUUGAGAGACUGCCAGAGAAUGUGGGGAACGCUGAAAGUGUAGAGGAGUUGGAUGUGAGUGGAACUGCUAUAAGAGAGGUGCCUUCCUCCAUUGGUCUCCUAAAAAAUCUUAAAAUGCUCUCUUUCAGUGGAUGUAAGGGGCUAUCAUCAUUUAACUAUACAUCUUGGUAUGAUCUCCUCCCAUUUUCUUCAAGGCCAAAAAUUGCAGAUCCCAUGGGUUUGUCCUCUCUAUCGGGUUUGUGUUCUUUGACUAAAUUGAAUCUACAAGAUUGCAAUCUCAGGGAAAUCCCUAAUGAUAUUGGUUGCUUAUUCUCUUUAGAAGAAAUAGAUCUAAGUGAGAAUAGUUUUGUUUGCCUUCCUGAUAGCAUCAGUCAACUAUGUAAGUUGGAAAUCAUGGAUUUGGAGAAUUGCACGAGUCUGCGAACAUUGCCAAAUCUUCCAGUAGAUAUCAUACGAAUUUGGGGAGAUGGUUGUACCUCAUUGGAAACGGUACUAGAUCUCCAAAAACCUAAUUCUUUUUGUAAGGGAGAGCUUUAUCUUUCAAAUUGCAGUAAACUGGCUGAAAAUCAAGAUUUCAUUGACAUAUUUUUGGCAGUGAUAAGAAAGCACCAUCAGGGACUCUCUCGUCACGAUAGCUAUGAUAAUCGAGAAUACAAUUGGAGAUAUGACAUGAUUAUUCCAGGAAGUGUAAUUCCGAAGUGGUUUAUCCAUCAAAGUAUUGGGGCUGAAGUGAAUAUAAAAGAACCUUCUUCUCAUUUGUGUGAUGACUGGAUGGGGACUGCUGUUUGCGUUGUAUUUUCUUCUCUUCUCCAUUUUUCAAUAUCCUUUCGGUUGAUAGCAAAUGGAAAAGUAAUGUCUGCUAAGAUAGGCACUACGUAUUACAGUUUUUUUGAUUUAUUAUCAGAUCAUAUUUUUCUAUGUUAUUUGCUUCCUCAAUACUACAAGGAGGACAUAAAAUUACUGAACGAAUGUGAAGCAAAUGAAUUGAGUCAGAUUGGCAUUAAAAUUAUUAUUGAAGAUUCAGAGGUGCAAGUGAAGAAAUGUGGGUUCCGUGUGGUAUACAAGAAAGACUUAGAAGAACUCAACCGAACUAUGGCUUUGAGUAGCAGCACCAGCAUCAUUCCUUAUGAGGACUUGGGUGUUCUCCAUCAUAAUUUCAAGAAUUCGGUAGUGGUUGCGGAAGAUAACAAAGCAAAGCAAAUUCAUGACAAUUUCGACAGGGCUGGGCCUAGUGGAGAAGGAAGUUGUAAUGAUGUGGCACACCCAAACAGGAUUGAAAGGCUCCAUGGUGGCUUUGAUUGUGAGGAGUACUUCGAAUGUGGUGAGGAGAUCAAUGAUUAGCAGGAAUCUAGAUGGAAUUGGGAACUGGGUUCAAAUACUCUUAAUCAGACUCGAGAAGGCAAACAACUGUGUUGACAAGGUUGAAAGUUGUAGAAGGUAGCCUGCUUAGUGCUUAGAUUGGUAUGCAAAAGCCUCUAUUGCACAUCAGGCAGAUCAGAGUGACUGCGGGAAAGUACAAAGGCAAGUGUAUCCAAUUCUGGGAGGUUGUGGAUGUUGUUGACAAUUGAGGGACACUAGCAGAGAUGGUGUGGAUGGGGUGGUUUUGGCUAUGAAGCCAAAUCAUGUGAUGGCAAGCUGUUGCAGUUCUUCCAUAUGCAACCAAAUGGCAUGUAGCUAGAUGCCUGACUGUGCAAAAAGCAUCAUGAGGGACUGCUGUUUGCUUUGUAUUUUCUUCUUGUCUUGAAUUUACAUUAUCUUGUCAGUUGAUAGCAAAUGGAAAAGUAAUGUCUGCUUCAAUAGGCCGUGAUUAUGAAAUUGUUGGUUUAUCAGAUAAUAUUUUUCUAUGUUAUUUGCUUCCUCAAUACUACAACGAGAAGGAGGACAUAAAAUUAUUGAACGAAUGUGAAGCAAAUGAAUUGACUCAGAUUGGCAUUAAAAUUGAAACUAGAAGUUCAGGCAUGGAGGUGAAGAAAUGCGGGUUCCGAAUGGUAUACAAGAAAGACGUAGAAGAACUCAACUGAACUAUGGCUCAAAGUAGCAACACCAGCAUCAUUCCUUAUGAGGACUUGGAUGUUCUCCAUCAUAAUUUUGACAAUUUGGCAGUGGUAUGUAAACAAGCAAAACGAAUUUGUGACGAUUACGAAGAUGCUGGACCUAGUGGAGAAGGAAGCUCUAAUGAUUUGCCACACCCAAAAAGGAUUGAAAGUCUCCAUGAUGACUCUGAUUGUGAGGAAUACUUCGAAUGUGGUGAGGAGAUCAAUGAUUAGCAGGAGCAUAGAUGGAAUAGGAAAUUGGGUUCAAAUACUCUUAAUCAGACUCGAGAAGGCAAACAACUGUGUUGGCAAGAUUGAAAGUUGUAGAAGGUAGCCUGCUUAGUGCUUAGAUCGGUAUGCAUAAUCCUCUGUUGCACAUUAGGCAGAUCAGAGUGACUGCAGGAAAGUACCAAGGCAAGUGUAUCCAGCUCUAGAGGGUUGUGGAUGUUGACAAUUGAGGGACACUAGCAGAGAUGGUGUGGAUGGGGUGGUUUUGGCUAUGAAGCCAAAUCAUGUGAUGGCAAGCUAUUGCAGUUCUUCCAUAUGCAACCAAAUGGCAUGUAACUAGAUGCCUAGCUGUCCAAAAAGCAUUAACUGAGGCUAUACAGCUUGAUUUUUGCAGACUUAUUUCAACAAUAUCUAGAGUGGAGGACCUCUUUUUGAGAAAGAAAGUCCCUUGGCAAAUUUUUGUGCUGAUUGAAGACCACAAGUGCUUGGAAGUUGGUGAAUGCUAGUGGUUAUGAAUGUUGUGCAUAAGAGAGUCCUUGCAGAUCUUGGGGCCCUGGCUACUCUUGCUUUCUAAUCUUACAGACAUUUUUGGACUCUACUAAUAGCCAACCAUUCUGACAUUAUUGUAUCUAAAAACCAAACCAGAAAAAAUGUUAUCUUUAUACCUUUUUUGGACUCAUUUAAGCCUUGGGCAUAUGUCUGUGUGCAUUCAUUAACAUUUUAAGACAUUACAUAAGAGAUUUGUUUCUUUGUGUAAAUUCCUGUUAAAGCAAAUAAGAGCAAUUGACUUGACCAUUUAAAAUUGCUUGA